AUUUGUUAUUUUGGAGGUAAACUUUCCCAGGAAAAUGAUGCAUGCAACACUAUUCAUGAUGAUUAUGAAAAUGAAGAGGACUUAGAAGAAAUGGAGAUGGCAGACUUGGCAGUGGAGAUUUGAAGAACUAGUGUUGAAGUCUAUAACUACUUUUUUGUACUAAGUCGAGGAUUUGAAGCACUAAUAUAAUUCAUGAAGAUUUGAAGCAUUAAACUUGAAGUAUUGUAUAGAUUUUUGGGUAGUAAGGGAAUGUCCUAACUCACUAAUAUUACAGCUUCUAAUUAUUUUUUGGUGCUAGUGACUAAGAUUUUAUACACUAA